rnacentral:rRNA from 1 species
UUAAGCCGCAGGCUCCACUCUGGUGGUGCCUUCCGUCAAUUCCUUUAAGUUCAGCUUUGCAACCAUACUUCCCCCGGAACCCAAAAGCUUUGGUUUCCCGGAAGCUGCCCGCCGAGUCAUCGGAGGAACGUCGGCGGAUCGCUAGCUGGCAUCGUUUAUGGUCAGAACUAGGGCGGUAUCUGAUCGCCUUCGAACCUCUGACUUUCGUUCUUGAUUAAUGAAAACAUUUUUGGCAAAUGCUUUCGCUUCUGUCCGUCUUGCGACGAUCCAAGAAUUUCACCUCUAACGUCGCAAUACGAAUGCCCCCAUCUGUCCCUAUUAAUCAUUACCUCGGGUUUCCGAAAACCAACAAAAUAGAACCGAGGUCCUGUUCCAUUAUUCCAUGCACACAGUAUUCAGGCGAAAUUUUAGCCUGCUUUGAGCACUCUAAUUUGUUCAAAGUAAACGUGCCGGCCCGCCUCGACACUCAAUUAAGAGCACCGCGACAGGAUUAUUGAGUCGGAUGGUAGAGCGCCUGCAACCCCACCACAUCAUACAGUAACAACCGAAGUUGCACACGCACAAUGGGGAAGCAUACAAGGUCCACGCAUCCACCGGCAGGACGUUCCGCGGACGUGCCAGUUAAACACCGCGGGCGGUGAACCGACAGCGCGGAACACAAAUUCAACUACGAGCUUUUUAACCGCAACAACAUUAAUAUACGCUAUUGGAGCUGGUAUUACCGCGGCUGCUGGCACCAGACUUGCCCUCCAAUGGGUACUCGUUAAAGGA